rnacentral:rRNA from 1 species
CCUACGGGUGGCAGCAGUGGGGGAUAUUGCACAAUGGGGGGAACCCUGAUGCAGCGACGCCGCGUGGGUGAAGGAGCGUUUCGGCGCGUUACGCCCUAUCGGCAGGGAAGAAAAUGACGGUACCUGUCCAAGAAGCCCCGGCUAACUACGUUCCAGCAUCCGCGGUAAUACGUAGGGGAGAAGCGGUAUCCGGAUUUACUGGGUGUUAAGGGGGCGCAGGCGGCAAUGCAAGCCAGGAGGUAAAGCCCGGGGCCCAACCCCUGGAGUGCUGUUGAAACUGCAUGGCUUGAGUACAGGAGGGGCAGGCGGAAUUCCUAGUGUAGCGGUGAAAUGCGUAGAUAUUAGGCGGAACACCGGUGGCGAAGGCGGCCUGCUGGACUGUGACUGACGUUGAGGCCCGAAGGCGUGGGGAGCAAACAGGAUUAGAUACCCGGGUAGUC